UUCUGGUUGAUCCUGCCGGAGGUCACUGCUAUUGGGAUUCGACUAAGCCAUGCGAGUCGAGAGGGUUCGGCCCUCGGCUGACGGCUCAGUAACACGUGGAUAAUCUGCCCUAAGGUGGAGGAUAACCUCGGGAAACUGAGAAUAAUACUCCAUAGGUCUAGGAUACUGGAAUGUACUUAGACUCAAAACUUCGGUGCCUUAGGAUGAGUCUGCGGACUAUCAGGUUGUAGUCAGGGUAAUGACCUGACUAGCCUACGACGGAUACGGGUUGUGAGAGCAAUAACCCGGAGAUGAUAUCUGAGACACGAUAUCAGGCCCUACGGGGCGCAGCAGGCGCGAAAACUUCACACUGCGCGAAAGCGCGAUGAGGGAAUCCCAAGUGCAUGCACGUAAGUGUAUGCUGUUUCUUUGUUUAAAACGCAUAGAGAGUAAGGGCUGAGUAAGACGGGUGCCAGCCGCCGCGGUAA
rnacentral:rRNA from 1 species